AUGCCUUACGAUGAGCGGUACACACCGUACAUCAAGCAGGCAGGACUACUCCCGUGGAUUCUGUUGGUCAGCCGGUCCACGCCGAAUCUGAACGCUCCACUAGUGUCCGCUCUUGUUGAUCGGUGGAGGCCAGAGACCCACAAUUUCCAUCUUCGGACCGGGGAGAUGACCGUGACGCUCGAGGAUGUCUCGUUGAUCACCGGUCUUGCUAUCGACGGGAGGCCUCUAUGUAUGAGCACCGAUUCUGAUGGGUGGCGCGAGCAGAUGAUUGCUCUUAUCGGUAUGGCUCCUACCGAGGCUGAGGAUGAUGUAGAGGAGGGAGAAGAGAAGAAGAAGAGGGAAAGGAAGGCAGCUGGAGCUGCUUUCACGUGGAUUCAAAAUAACUUUGCGACGUGCCCUCCGGAUGCAACUGAUGAUGUGAUCCAGACACAUGCUCGUGUGUAUAUGUGGUACAUUGUGUCGAGGACUUUGUUUCCUGACUCCACUGGCAAGAACGCUCCAUGGAUGUGGCUGAAGGCGUUGACCGUCUUCGAUAGCAAAUGGAGCUGGGGUUCAGCGACUCUUGCCUACUUGUACCGACAGGUAGUUGGUCUGUUUUGUGAUCAACUCAUUUAUUCAUUAGCAAUGCAAGCUUGCUGUCAAGUUAACAUUGUUUUUCUUUCAUAUGUAGCUGGAUGA
rnacentral:rRNA from 1 species